rnacentral:rRNA from 1 species
AGAGUUUGAUCCUGGCUCAGGAUGAACGCUAGCGGCAGGCCUAAUACAUGCAAGUCGAACGGAAUCAGGCAGCAAUGCUUGGUUUAGUGGCGCACGGGUGCGUAACGCGUAUGCAACCUACCUUUUACUGGGGGAUAGCCCGAAGAAAUUCGGAUUAAUACCGCAUACCACUAUUUGAGGGCAUCUGAGGAUAGUGAAAGAUUUAUUGGUAAAAGAUGGGCAUGCGUGCCAUUAGCUAGUUGGUUGAGGUAACGGCUCACCAAGGCGACGAUGGCUAGGGGUUCUGAGAGGAUGAUCCCCCACACUGGUACUGAGAUACGGACCAGACUCCUACGGGAGGCAGCAGUAGGGAAUAUUGGGCAAUGGACGAGAGUCUGACCCAGCCAUGCCGCGUGCAGGAUGAAGGCCUUCUGGGUUGUAAACUGCUUUUAUCUAGGAAGAAAAUACUCUUGCGAGAGGAACUGACGGUACUAGAGGAAUAAGCACCGGCUAACUCCGUGCCAGCAGCCGCGGUAAUACGGAGGGUGCAAGCGUUGUCCGGAUUUAUUGGGUUUAAAGGGUGCGUAGGCGGCCCAUUAAGUCCGUGGUGAAAGCCAACAGCUCAACUGUUGAACUGCCAUGGAUACUGAUGGGCUUGAGUACAGACGAGGUAGGCGGAAUGGAUGCUGUAGCGGUGAAAUGCAUAGAUAGCAUCCAGAACCCCGAUUGCGUAGGCAGCUUACUAGGCUGUAACUGACGCUGAGGCACGAAAGCGUGGGGAGCGAACAGGAUUAGAUACCCUAGUAGUCC